GAUGAACGCUGGCGGCGUGCCUAAUACAUGCAAGUCGAGCGAACAGACGAGGAGCUUGCUCCUUUGACGUUAGCGGCGGACGGGUGAGUAACACGUGGGUAACCUACCUAUAAGACUGGGAUAACUUCGGGAAACCGGAGCUAAUACCGGAUAAUAUUUCGAACCGCAUGGUUCGAUAGUGAAAGAUGGCUUUGCUAUCACUUAUAGAUGGACCUGCGCCGUAUUAGCUAGUUGGUAAGGUAACGGCUUACCAAGGCUACGAUACGUAGCCGACCUGAGAGGGUGAUCGGCCACACUGGAACUGAGACACGGUCCAGACUCCUACGGGAGGCAGCAGUAGGGAAUCUUCCGCAAUGGGCGAAAGCCUGACGGAGCAACGCCGCGUGAGUGAUGAAGGUCUUCGGAUCGUAAAACUCUGUUAUUAGGGAAGAACAAACGUGUAAGUAACUGUGCACGUCUUGACGGUACCUAAUCAGAAAGCCACGGCUAACUACGUG
rnacentral:rRNA from 1 species